ACGCCCCGCAAGGGGAGUGGCAGACGGGUGAGUAACGCGUGGGAAUCUACCGUACCCUACGGAAUAGCUCCGGGAAACUGGAAUUAAUACCGUAUACGCCCUACGGGGGAAAGAUUUAUCGGGGUAUGAUGAGCCCGCGUUGGAUUAGCUAGUUGGUGGGGUAAAGGCCUACCAAGGCGACGAUCCAUAGCUGGUCUGAGAGGAUGAUCAGCCACAUUGGGACUGAGACACGGCCCAAACUCCUACGGGAGGCAGCAGUGGGGAAUAUUGGACAAUGGGCGCAAGCCUGAUCCAGCCAUGCCGCGUGAGUGAUGAAGGUCUUAGGAUUGUAAAGCUCUUUCACCGAUGAAGAUAAUGACGGUAGUCGGAGAAGAAGCCCCGGCUAACUUCGUGCCAGCAGCCGCGGUAAUACGAAGGGGGCUAGCGUUGUUCGGAAUUACUGGGCGUAAAGCGCACGUAGGCGGAUAUUUAAGUCAGGGGUGAAAUCCCGCAGCUCAACUGCGGAACUGCCUUUGAUACUGGGUAUCUUGAGUAUGGAAGAGGUGAGUGGAAUUCCGAG
rnacentral:rRNA from 1 species